rnacentral:lncRNA from 1 species
UUUUGGCUAUGGUUUUGGUGCACAUUUUAUAUGGUUUGGAGUUUAUAUGAAGGAGAUACAAGCACUCAAAGUUAAGGUAUUGAUUUGGGAGCUACUGUCACUCUUUUUGGCAUAACGCAUGCGUACGGAUAGCAAUUGAGGAUCGGCAAUUGCGACUAGAGGGAACACUUUUGGAGCUACACUGCUUGCUAGAUUCCAAGUUGAGAUAAAGGAGUUAUAGGAUUUUGAAGUCAGCACAUGCAAUCUAAGGGUAGUAAGUGACUCAAUUUACUAGUGGUUGUGUCUUCAUCUAUAUCUUGAGCAAUUUAAUAAGGUUUUGGCUCAAAAUUUUA